ACCGACCUUCUCUUUGGAGAGAUGGAUAGCGAGAGGUUGGCCUUCGUCGUCCACGUCGGUG
rnacentral:misc_RNA from 1 species